UGGGGAAUAUUGCACAAUGGGCGAAAGCCUGAUGCAGCAACGCCGCGUGAGUGAUGAAGGUCUUCGGAUUGUAAAGCUCUGUCUUUUGGGACGAUAGUGACGGUACCAAAGGAGGAAGCCACGGCUAACUACGUGCCAGCAGCCGCGGUAAUACGUAGGUGGCGAGCGUUGUCCGGAUUUACUGGGCGUAAAGGGUGCGUAGGCGGAUGUUUAAGUGAGAUGUGAAAUACCCGGGCUUAACUUGGGUGCUGCAUUUCAAACUGGAUAUCUAGAGUGCAGGAGAGGAGAAUGGAAUUCCUAGUGUAGCGGUGAAAUGCGUAGAGAUUAGGAAGAACACCAGUGGCGAAGGCGAUUCUCUGGACUGUAACUGACGCUGAGGCACGAAAGCGUGGGUAGCAAACAGGAUUAGAUACCCUGGUAGUCCACGCCGUAAAACGAUGAGUACUAGGUGUAGGAGGUAUCGACCCCUUCUGUGCCGCAGUAAAACACAUUAAAGUACUCCGCCUGGGAAGUACGAUCGCAAGAUU
rnacentral:rRNA from 1 species